GGAAGAAAAUUUAACAAGGUUCCGUAGGUGAACCUGCGGAGGGAUCAUUACUGAGUUUGGGGGUUUAGGCCCCCGACCUCCAACCCUUUGUGAACCAACUCUGUUGCUUCGGGGGCGACCCUGCCGUUCGCGGCGGCGGCGCCCCCGGAGGCCCCAAUCAAACACUGCGUAACUUUGUAGUCGGAGUCUGAUUAAAUAAAUCAAAACUUUCAACAACGGAUCUCUUGGUUCUGGCAUCGAUGAAGAACGCAGCGAAAUGCGAUAAGUAAUGUGAAUUGCAGAAUUCAGUGAAUCAUCGAAUCUUUGAACGCACAUUGCGCCCCUUGGUAUUCCGGGGGGCAUGCCUGUUCGAGCGUCAUUACACCACUCAAGCCUGGCUUGGUAUUGGGCGCCGCGGGGCUCUCCCGCGCGCCUUAAAGUCUUUCCGGCUGAGCUAUCCAUCUCUAAGCGUUGUGGCAACUAUUCGCGGUGAGGUUGAUGGCGGCGGCCGUUAAAUCUUUUAUUCAAGGUGACCUCGGAUCAGGAGGAACCCG
rnacentral:rRNA from 1 species